UUGAAGAGCCAGAGAACGUUUUUUUAAAGGGAAUUAUUUUAAAAAAUUCUGACGCAGAAACAAAAAAUUUCGGUAGGUAACUUGAUUUUUUACAUUUUUUUUUAAAUUGAGAAGCUACUAUCGCCACUUUUUUGCAGAUAGGAGAUAAAUAAAAAAUAUUGAAUUAUUUUCUCACCCGAGGUAGCAAGUUUGGGGGAUGAAAGGGGGAAAAUUCUAACUUUUCAAAAUGGAUAUUCUGUGUACAAAUUUAGCCAUGUUGAUGAAAUGAUGAAAGAAGCUGCACCGUUUCUACGAUUAUAAAAAUAAAAUCUCUGUAUAGGUGAUUCUGAUUCCAUUACCUAGUUACCUUCAUCGCCUCCAUCGUACCUAUACUAAAUCCUGUCGCGUGCUCUAAAUUAGAUGCAAACUCGAUAAAUACUCUUUAUACACAGGUAAUUACAUAUUCGAGAAUUUUUUUCUAAUGGGAUAAUUACAUAACACGUAUAUCUUUACUGCUGUUGGACCUUGCUUGUGCGAAUCUAACCUUGAAAAUAUUUCAUACCUACGCGUAAAAAUUCUCUCACGAGUAUAAUUAGUAAAAAAUUAACUGUAACAAUAAACUCGCCAAUUAAUUUGCUUUUGUUUAGGCCAAAUAUUCUCACAAUACGCGACCAAGCGAAGUAAUCUAGUUUGCAAUUUGAAUAUCAUUAAAUUAGUGCAUUGGCCUCUUAUCAGCAGUAAACACUAAACAGCGGUAUAUUAUUCACGCAUCGAAUGCAAAUCGGCAAACCGUAAUAGGCCUACGUUUUGCUCGAUUGAUUGACAGAUUUGACGAGAAAGAACCUCGCAGGUUGUACCCGAUGAAAGAUGAUGUCAAAGCAUGUUUCCAUCAGAAGGAAAUUGUCGUAGGAGGUAUGUAUAUGAUUUGUUGAUAGUAUAUCUUCCAUUCCUAUGGAGGUAUAGCUGUAUCUUUCUUUGACUCUUUCGGUGCCCUAUACGAAUCAUUUGACAAGGCUUCACUUUCACAUACUGAGAUAGAGAGAGAAUAGCAGAUAAUUGCCGCGUGAAAAAUUAAUUAUAUUGGUAAAUCAACGGCGGACACGACACACGUGAUGUUAAAUAGCACGGAUUUUAUUACCACGUAGGACGUAGGUAGGCAGGCGAAUCUUAAUUGGACGAGUUAAAAAAUAAUAAAAAAAUUUCGCUAUCUUUAACCUGAUUUGCAGGAAUUUUUCUAACGGUGAAAUUAUAUUUUUUAAAUGUAAGACGCAUUGUGAAAUCUUUGUUAUGGUGCGGAUGAUGCACGAACGAAUGCACGAGUGCAUUGUAAUAUUACGUAAAGUAAUUUUUUUUCUUUUCGAAGUGUUACACCUACACGUGCCCAUGAUUACUGUGUAGAUGUAGAAUACUCGUGUAUAGAAUCAUUUAAUGAAAUCGAAAGUUGAAAUUUUAUAAGAAUGUAUUUUUGAACCAUAGAGAAUUACUCGAUCAAACAGAACACCUGUGACCACAAUACGUUGUUUUUUUCCAUCAUGUUCCUUUCACCUUCACACACACAAAACGACGAUGAUGGUACAAUAGCUCCUAAACUAUAAGAAAACCUUUACAGUACGAGCAGUUCGUUAACCCACCAAGUAAUUACGUCUAAUUAGGAAUAAGAACUUGCUGAAAUAUCAAUCAAGUUUAGUACCUAUAUUUACAAAUACAAACACGUACUAUGUACGAUAUGUAGCAUGUAUAUCAGUGUGGUUAUAUAUUAUUAAAUAAGGUUAGAUUAUUUCAAUAACAGAAGCAUUUACGGUUAUGGACAUGUGAUUCGUUCGUACAAGAUACCUACCUACCUAGGGAACCUAUUGCUAUAAAAUGUACGAUAUAUUUUUUUCCAACGGCUUUCACAAGUUUACAUAAUGAUUUAUUUUUAACUUGUAGGUAGGUAGGUAUCUAUCACGUAUUCUUUAAGGAAAUUACACCAUAUAUGAAUUUUUAUAUUCGCAGCUCGAUUAAUUAUGAUGUCACAUUCAUGUACACUACAUAGCUGCGUUACGAACUGUAGCGUGUAAAAUUUGCACCGGAGUUUGUAUAUGAUACGGAUCCAGUUGGCUGAAUAUAAUGGUGGUUUUUAGAUGAAACAAUGUUAAUGUGUCGAUGUCGACGGAGAACUGCAGCGUAUUAGCUUCAAGCUUCAAGCUUCAGAAUUACCUACUUCAUGGAGAACGCCUUCGGUUGAAAAUGAAAUUUGUCUUCAUCGUCUUCGGCCUUGUUUAUUAUUUCUUACAGCAAAAUGUACCCACAUCUGAGUAUAAAUACCUCGCUAUGUGUUUUGCAUUAA